UGCCUUCAAGGAGAUUACUACCUAGCAGGGGAGACAGAGUAACUGAGGUAGGAAGAAGCAAUGGGGAAAAAAGGUAUGUAUAUUUGGUAUGUAUGGGGACUACAGGGAAACUUUGAAAAAAGAUUCCAUUUCUGAAUCACAGGAGUCCUACUCUCCUGGGCUUCCGGUGGGUGAAACGAUGGCGCCAAUCCACAGAAUGACAUCACUAGCCUUCUUAUUAUCCCUCGAGAUGCUGCUCUUUCAGUAGCUCCCUGUCCUUGCCCUUGCAGAUGCCUGCAUUCCCUGAGCUCUCUGACACUGUGUGGAAUCCGAAAGGAAACAGGGAAUGAGUCAACUGCGUCGCUGCUCUUCGCAGUUGGCUGUUAAGGGGGAAAGAGUUGCCCCUCCUGGCAUUCCAUUAGUCAAGCGUAGAGGUCGUCUGGGGGCCCGCCAAAUCUCGGGAAAGUCACCGACCAACCUAUAAAGCCACACUGCAGGGAGAGUGGAUUGGGAGUCACCGAGGAGGAGGAGGGGGUUCGGGGAAGGAGAGCGAGUGAGAAUGAGCGAACGGCAACUGAACAGGUGGUUGGAGUCUGAUGGUUGGUUUGUAGGUUGCCUGACAGCAAAGAGGCUGUCGGCACAGAUCAAAGCAAAAUAGAACCUUAAAGACUUCAUCCUCUUAAGGUAAUAGUGUAGUUUUGAUGUCAAUGGUAAUGUGGCGCUAAUAUAUUCAUAGCGAUAUAUUAUAAUAAAAGGAGGUAGACCAGCAGACAGAGACAGGGUCAGGGGCUCCGAGUACUGUGACGGACUCAGUACCGGGACUUUGUUUUGGGGGGCCGGCUCCUGCAACUUGAGGUUGAGCUUGGGGCAGCACCGGCGCUGUCGGAGCCGCUCAGGGAGCUGGAUGCGCCACCCGUGGUGGGUCUACGUCUCCGGGCCUGGCCGGGGGCGGUCGGCACCGCGGAUCCUCGUCUGGGUCUCCUCCUCUCCACCGGCAUGUCGGCGUGACCCCGUCUCUCUGCCUGUCCUGGGAUCGCCGUGCUCGUUACCUGAGCCUUCGGGAGCAUCCCCAAGGGGCCACGACAGAGGAACCGACAGAGGAAAACUGCCAGGGAAAUGAAGUGGAUGGAUACUCCCAGCCUGUUACGGUGACGUAGAAGGCAAGACGACUCCGUGACUUCCCCGUGGCUUGCUUACUUGUGAGAUCUGGUCCACGGCUUAUCAGAGGUACGUUGGCGCCAUCUUAUCUCUACUGAUCCCAGCCUCGCUUCUGGAUUUUAUAACUUCUGGCCGGAAUUUGUCUCUCUGUCCCUCCCUCCCGUCAAAGAUCCAGAAAAGACAUUAUUGCUAACCAGAAGAUCUUCAGAUCGUGAGGCGAAGUGCUCAUCGUAGCCGUGCCAGCAAGGAUUUCGAGAGCAAUGAAAAACCACAGUGUGAUCACCAGCGAAAGCUCACUAAAUAGAAAGAGGUUACUCCUGGCUCUUCAGAGGAGAAAGCAAUCUGGCUGUGCUAUGGUGCCUUCGUCAUGAGAUUUCGCCAAAAUGACUCUAUGGAUGAGAAGGGUGUCAGUCUGGCCGUCGUAGUUCGGAAGACAGGAACCAUUUUCUCACCCUGGACCUCAUUACUCGGAAGCCUCGGACGGAGCGGAUUGCAGAAGGGCUAGCCAUCAUUACUAGGCUCAUUUUUGGACAGGCGAUAAGGGAGACCUCACCUCGUCAUGGCACAACAGCCUAGGACCCAACUGGCUUUCUGAAAUCUGCAUCUAUUCAAAAUGUUUAAGGAAAAGUAUGGCUGCCCCUGACUCCUGGUGGAGAAAUCUGAGAAGGAUGGGCAGAGCUGGACUUACAGCUUGGCGCUCUGGGUCACCAUCGUGCUCCCUUUCUGGAAUUCAUUUAUUCAACUGUAUUUACUGAGUGCUUACUGUGCGCAAAGCACUGUACUGAGCGCUUGGGAGGGUACAAUACAAGAGACACUGUCCCUGCCUAUAAGGAACUCAAAGCCUAGAGAUGAAAAUCAACCUCUUCAUGGACCUGCAUUCUCUAAAGUAGGUUAUGCUGUUGGAUGGUGGAAAACUGCCCAGGCUUCAAAGGAAGGAUUAUUUCUGACAAGGAUUUCUUCUCACUCUGCGAAAAAGGUCACUUUACCUGGCUGCCUCCAUGCUCCGUAUCAAUGUACCGGGGCAUCGGAAACCUGGAAUGGAGAAUUUCCUGGGCAUCGUCAAUUGGAGCUUGCAGCAGGUGGCGGAAAUUUUCAUACUCUGGCAUGUCUUGGUAGCCUGACUUGCGCCACUGUGCUAUGGUCUAAUAAAAAAAGCAUUUAAAAGAGACA